GGGGAUUCCUGUGAUGCAGGGAGUAUUCCUUCCUACCUGCUAAUAGGGGUGAUUUUCUUCCAUCUUGACACUUCUAACUAUUUUAUUUAAUUAAAAUAUAAAGCUUCCUGGAGCAGAAUUUUGUUUUUGUGUCCCUGUGUAUAUGAGAGAGUGAGAUGAUUGCUUGGUCUUGGAGAGAAUUUGACCUGGAAGAGCAGAAGGGAUAGUUUGUGAUAUGUUGUGUAUGUGUGAGCAUGACUUUGUAACUUGUCCUUUAUCAAUAGUUUACCUUAAUCCAAUAAUGAAUAUUUGUCUAGGAUAAGUUAAAAAUUGAAAAUAGCUUGCAUGUGUCAGAAUUAAAAAGAAAUAAUAAUGAGUGCAAGCGGCCAAGUGAAGAAAUGUAAUAAAAAAAAAAAAUUGCCCAAGUGAAUAGGUGGUGCAAAGAAAUUAAAUGCAUAGUUGGCAUCAAGCUGGUGCCAACAUAUCCAUUUGUGUUUAUGGGGCUUGGUUAAAAAAAUUUAAAGAGCUAGAGAGAGCUAAGGAGAGCAAGAGCAAGAGUAUUUGCUUAGGUAAAUAUUAGAGCUCCAGUUUGAGAGUGAAAUUUGCUCAUGAUAUUUUUCCCUUUGGGUUUUAGAGGGAUUAUUGCUUCAUUGGGGGUAGCUUAAACAUUGGGUGGAGAUAGU
rnacentral:misc_RNA from 1 species